rnacentral:rRNA from 1 species
UACAGAGGGCUCAAGCGUUGUUCGGAUUCAUUGGGCGUAAAGGGUGCGUAGGCGGCGCGGUAAGUCGGGUGUGAAAUCUCGGAGCUUAACUCCGAAACUGCAUUCGAUACUGGCGUGCUUGAGGACUGGAGAGGAGACUGGAAUUCAUGGUGUAGCAGUGAAAUGCGUAGAGAUCAUGAGGAAGACCAGUGGCGAAGGCGGGUCUCUGGACAGUUCCUGACACUGAGACACGAAGGCCAGGGGAGCAAACGGG